AUGAACGCUAGCGACAGGCCUAACACAUGCAAGUCGAGGGGCAGCACAGUGUAGCAAUACAUAGGUGGCGACCGGCGCACGGGUGAGUAACGCGUAUGCAACCUGCCUACAACAGGGGGAUAACCCGGAGAAAUCCGGACUAAUACCGCAUAAAACAGGGGUCCCGCAUGGGAGUAUUUGUUAAAGAUUUAUCGGUUGUAGAUGGGCAUGCGUUCCAUUAGUUGGUUGGUGAGGUAACGGCUCACCAAGGCGUCGAUGGAUAGGGGAACUGAGAGGUUUGUCCCCCACACUGGAACUGAGACACGGACCAGACUCCUACGGGAGGCAGCAGUGAGGAAUAUUGGUCAAUGGGCGAGAGCCUGAACCAGCCAAGUCGCGUGAAGGAAGACUGCCUUAUGGGUUGUAAACUUCUUUUAUACAGGAAUAAAAAGGCUUACGUGUAGGCCAUUGCAAGUACUGUAUGAAUAAGCAUCGGCUAACUCCGUGCCAGCAGCCGCGGUAAUACGGANGAUGCGAGCGUUAUCCGGAUUUAUUGGGUUUAAAGGGUGCGCAGGCGGGCUUUUAAGUCAGCGGUGAAAUCUGGACGCUUAACGUCCAAACUGCCGUUGAAACUGGGAGUCUUGAGUAUGGAUGAA
rnacentral:rRNA from 1 species